rnacentral:tRNA from 1 species
UCCCUGGUGGCUCAGAGGUUAAAGCAUCUGCCUGCAAUACGGGAGAUCUGGGUUCAAUCCCUGGCUUGGGAA